rnacentral:rRNA from 1 species
GACGAACCGUGCGAACGUUGUUCGGAAUCACUGGGCUUAAAGGGCGCGUAGGCGGGCCGGACGGUCCGGGGUGAAAUCCCCCCGCUCAACGGGGGAACGGCCUCGGACACCGCCGGCCUCGAGGAAGGUAGGGGCAAGCGGAACGCUGGGUGGAGCGGUGAAAUGCGUUGAUAUCCAGCGGAACUCCGGUGGCGAAGGCGGCUUGCUGGACCUUUUCUGACGCUGAGGCGCGAAAGCCAGGGGAGCGAACGGG